UGGGGAAUUGUUCGCAAUGGGCGCAAGCCUGACGACGCAACGCCGCGUGGGGGAUGAAGGUCUUCGGAUUGUAAACCCCUGUUGGGUGGGACGAACACUUUCGUGGUGAAUAUCCACGAGGGCUGACGGUACCACCUGAGGAAGCACCGGCUAACUACGUGCCAGCAGCCGCGGUAAUACGUAGGGUGCAAGCGUUAAUCGGAAUUACUGGGCGUAAAGCGUGCGCAGGCGGUUGUGCAAGACCGAUGUGAAAUCCCCGGGCUUAACCUGGGAACUGCAUUGGUGACUGCACGGCUAGAGUGUGUCAGAGGGGGGUAGAAUUCCACGUGUAGCAGUGAAAUGCGUAGAGAUGUGGAGGAAUACCGAUGGCGAAGGCAGCCCCCUGGGAUAACACUGACGCUCAUGCACGAAAGCGUGGGGAGCAAA
rnacentral:rRNA from 1 species